UACAUGUGGGGCAAGCGUUGUUCGGAAUUACUGGGCAUAAAGGGUGCGUAGGCGGCUUGUUAAGUCAUUGGUGAAAGUUUUCGGCCCAACCGGAAAAUUGCCUGUGAUACUGGCGAGCUGGAGUGCGUGAGGGGUGGGGGGAACGAGCAGUGUAGCGGUGAAAUGCGUAGAUAUUGGGAAGAACACCGGUGGCGAAGGCGGCGACCUGGUCCUUGACUGACGCUGGAGGCGCGAAAGCUAGGGGAGCAAACAGG
rnacentral:rRNA from 1 species